rnacentral:rRNA from 1 species
UACGUAGGUGCAAGCGUUGUCCGGAAUUAUUGGGCGUAAAGAGCUCGUAGGCGGUCUGUCGCGUCGGCUGUGAAAACUUGGGGACUCAACCCCAAGCCGUGCAGUCGAUACGGCAGACUAGAGUCCGGCAGGGGAGACUGAAUCCUGGUGUAGCGGUGAAAUGCGCAGAUAUCAGGAGGACACCGGUGGCGAAGGCGGGUCUCUGGCCGGAACUGACGCUGAGGAGCGAAAGCGUGGGGAGCGAACAGG